rnacentral:rRNA from 1 species
UACGGAGGGGCUAGCGUUGUUCGGAAUUAUCGUGGGCGUAAAGCGCACGUAGGCGGCUUUGUAAAGUUAGAGGUGAAAGCCCGGGGCUCAACUCCGGAAUUGCCUUUGAAGACUGCAUCGCUAGAAUUGUGGAGAGGUAAGUGGAAUUCCGAGUGUAGAGGUGAAAUUCGUAGAUAUUCGGAAGAACACCAGUGGCGAAGGCGGACUU